rnacentral:rRNA from 1 species
GGUUAAGCGAAUAAGCGUACACGGUGGAUGCCUAGGCAAUCAGAGGCGAUGAAGGACGUGCUAAUCUGCGAAAAGCGUCGGUAAGGUGAUAUGAACCGUUAUACCCGACGAUAUCCGAAUGGGGAAACCCAGUAUCCAAUGGAUACUAUCAUUAACUGAAUCCAUAGGUUAAUGAGGCGAACCGGGAGAACUGAAACAUCUCAGUACCCCGAGGAAAAGAAAUCAACCGAGAUUCCCCUAGUAGCGGCGAGCGAACGGGGAGCAGCCCAGAGUCUUAAUCAAUAGCAGUGUCAGGAGAACGGUCUGGAAAGUCCGGCAGUAAAGGGUGAUAGCCCCGUAUCUGAAGAUGCUGUUAUUGUGAACUCGACGAGUAGGGCGGGACACGUGUUAUCCUGUCUGAAUAUGGGGGGACCAUCCUCCAAGGCUAAAUACUCCUGAUUGACCGAUAGUGAACCAGUACCGUGAGGGAAAGGCGAAAAGAACCCCGGCGAGGGGAGUGAAAAAGAACCUGAAACCGUGUACGUACAAGCAGUAGGAGCCUCUUUAUGGGGUGACUGCGUACCUUUUGUAUAAUGGGUCAGCGACUUAUAUUCUGUAGCGAGGUUAACCGUAUAGGGGAGCCGUAGGGAAACCGAGUCUUAACUGGGCGAAUGAGUUGCAGGGUAUAGACCCGAAACCCGGUGAUCUAUCCAUGGGCAGGUUGAAGGUUGGGUAACACUAACUGGAGGACCGAACCGACUAAUGUUGAAAAAUUAGCGGAUGACUUGUGGAUGGGGGUGAAAGGCCAAUCAAACCGGGAGAUAGCUGGUUCUCCCCGAAAGCUAUUUAGGUAGCGCCUCGUGAAUUCAUCUUCGGGGGUAGAGCACUGUUUCGACUAGGGGGUCAUCCCGACUUACCAACUCGAUGCAAACUGCGAAUACCGAAGAAUGUUAUCACGGGAGACACACGGCGGGUGCUAACGUCCGUCGUGAAGAGGGAAACAACCCAGACCGCCAGCUAAGGUCCCAAAGUCAUGGUUAAGUGGGAAACGAAGUGGGAAGGCUCAGACAGCCAGGAUGUUGGCUUAGAAGCAGCCAUCAUUUAAAGAAAGCGUAAUAGCUCACUGGUCGAGUCGGCCCGCGCGGAAGAUGUAACGGGGCUAAACCAUGCACCGAAGCUGCGGCAGCGA